UUAUCUCCCUAUUCAGUGUGUAUUUGGCCUGUUUGUACAAGGCUUUGUCCCCACUUCUGUAGGCGUCCUCU